rnacentral:rRNA from 1 species
AUGAACGCUAGCUACAGGCUUAACACAUGCAAGUCGAGGGGCAGCAUCAUCAAAGCUUGCUUUGAUGGAUGGCGACCGGCGCACGGGUGAGUAACACGUAUCCAACCUGCCGACAACACUGGGAUAGCCUUUCGAAAGAAAGAUUAAUACCGGAUGGCAUAAUUAUUCCGCAUGGGAUAAUUAUUAAAGAAUUUCGGUUGUCGAUGGGGAUGCGUUCCAUUAGGCAGUUGGCGGGGUAACGGCCCACCAAACCAACGAUGGAUAGGGGUUCUGAGAGGAAGGUCCCCCACAUUGGAACUGAGACACGGUCCAAACUCCUACGGGAGGCAGCAGUGAGGAAUAUUGGUCAAUGGACGAGAGUCUGAACCAGCCAAGUAGCGUGAAGGAUGACUGCCCUAUGGGUUGUAAACUUCUUUUAUACGGGAAUAAAGUUAGCCACGUGUGGCUUUUUGUAUGUACCGUAUGAAUAAGGAUCGGCUAACUCCGUGCCAGCAGCCGCGGUAAUACGGAGGAUCCGAGCGUUAUCCGGAUUUAUUGGGUUUAAAGGGAGCGUAGGCGGGUUGUUAAGUCAGUUGUGAAAGUUUGCGGCUCAACCGUAAAAUUGCAGUUGAUACUGGCGACCUUGAGUGCAACAGAGGUAGGCGGAAUUCGUGGUGUAGCGGUGAAAUGCUUAGAUAUCACGAAGAACUCCGAUUGCGAAGGCAGCUUACUGGAUUGUAACUGACGCUGAUGCUCGAAAGUGUGGGUAUCAAACAGGAUUAGAUACCCUGGUAGUCCACACAGUAAACGAUGAAUACUCGCUGUUGGCGAUAUACGGUCAGCGGCCAAGCGAAAGCAUUAAGUAUUCCACCUGGGGAGUACGCCGGCAACGGUGAAACUCAAAGGAAUUGACGGGGGCCCGCACAAGCGGAGGAACAUGUGGUUUAAUUCGAUGAUACGCGAGGAACCUUACCCGGGCUUAAAUUGCAACUGACGGAAUCGGAAACGGUUCUUUCUUUGGACAGUUGUGAAGGUGCUGCAUGGUUGUCGUCAGCUCGUGCCGUGAGGUGUCGGCUUAAGUGCCAUAACGAGCGCAACCCUUACGGGUAGUUACCAUCAGGUUAUGCUGGGGACUCUACCCGGACUGCCGUCGUAAGAUGUGAGGAAGGUGGGGAUGACGUCAAAUCAGCACGGCCCUUACGUCCGGGGCUACACACGUGUUACAAUGGGGGGUACAGAAGGCAGCUACACGGCGACGUGGUGCUAAUCCCAAAAGCCUCUCUCAGUUCGGAUUGGAGUCUGCAACCCGACUCCAUGAAGCUGGAUUCGCUAGUAAUCGCGCAUCAGCCACGGCGCGGUGAAUACGUUCCCGGGCCUUGUACACACCGCCCGUCACACCAUGAGAGUCUGUAACACCCAAAGCCGGUGGGAUAACCUUUAUAGGAGUCAGCCGUCUAAGGUAGGACAGAUGAUUAGGGUG